GAUGAACGCUGGCGGCGUGCCUAAUACAUGCAAGUCGAGCGAACGGACGAGAAGCUUGCUUCUCUGAUGUUAGCGGCGGACGGGUGAGUAACACGUGGAUAACCUACCUAUAAGACUGGGAUAACUUCGGGAAACCGGAGCUAAUACCGGAUGAUAUUUUGAACCGCAUGGUUCAAAAGUGAAAGACGGUCUUGCUGUCACUUAUAGAUGGAUCCGCGCUGCAUUAGCUAGUUGGUAAGGUAACGGCUUACCAAGGCAACGAUGCAUAGCCGACCUGAGAGGGUGAUCGGCCACACUGGAACUGGGAAACGGUCCAGACUCCUAAGGGAGGCAGCAGUAGGGAAUCUUCCGCAAUGGGCGAAAGCCUGACGGAGCAACGCCGCGUGAGUGAUGAAGGUCUUCGGAUCGUAAAACUCUGUUAUUAGGGAAGAACAUAUGUGUAAGUAACUGUGCACAUCUUGACGGUACCUAAUCAGAAAGCCACGGCUAACUACGUG
rnacentral:rRNA from 1 species